ACCUAGGCCCCUGGUGCAUUAGCAAAGUAAUUCUUCUCUAACUGCCUUUUAUCAGGCUUGAGGACCUUUCGUGGAGAAUCCGGUGGGCCAGGGCAGGGGCUAGGUGGGUGUUGUGGGAAGACCUCCCAACAAGCCCUGUCCCCCCUGAAGUGUCCCAGUGCCAGAAGCCAGGCUACAGAUGGGGGUCGGGACAGGCUUGACAGAGGAGACCAUUUCUCCCCUGUCCCAGACACAGCAGAGGCCGCAGGCCACCUGCCCUGUCACUGGCAGUACAGCUCUCAUGACUCUGAGAAUCAGAAAGGUGCUGACUGCCACUCAGAACAUUCCAUCCAUCGCUGGGGAAGGAAUUUAUAAAUAUUACCUCGGCUUCCAUGUGCUUACACCAAGAGUCGCAUAAAUCAGAGCCGAGGCUCCCGGACCUCCCAGGCUAUAUAAAGCCACCCUCUGCCUCCUGGGUUCCAAUUUUAAAUCAAACACAGCCCAGCCCUGCCGCUCCUGUUGAUCCUCACGGAUUCCAUGGGCCGCUCAACGGCUCCUGAACCGCCGACUAAAAAUGACUCUGUUGUUCCCACUGAAAUUUAAAAUUAAAACUCAUGUGUGGAGUU